rnacentral:rRNA from 1 species
AUUGAACGCUGGCGGCAGGCCUAACACAUGCAAGUCGAACGAGUGGCGGACGGGGGAGUAGUGUCUGGGAAACUGCUUGAUGGAGGGGGAUGACUACUGGUAACGGUAGCUAAUACCGCAUACCAUCGGAUGUUCACAGAUGGGCUGAGCUAGUGGGUGGGGUAAAGGCUCACCUAGGCGACGAUCCCUAGCUGGUCUGACAGGAGGACCAGCCACACUAGAACGGAGACACGGUCCAGACUCCUACGGUAGGGAGCAGUGGGGAAGAGUAGACAAGUGGCGCAAGCCUGAUGCAGCCAUGCCGCGUGUAUGAAGAAGGCCUUCGGGUUGUAAAGUCCGUUCAGCGGGAAGGCGGUACCCGCAGAAGAAGCACCGGCUAACUCCGUGCCAGCAGCCGCGGUAAUAC